CAUCAAUGUUUAUAGUUCGAUGUGAUGGCUUAGCAUUUAACCUUCUCAGUUGAACGAAGAUGGUGCCUCGACUCAUUAUUAUUUUGAUUGGGGAUUUUAUCAUAUAUGGGGUGAUUACUUCAAACAGAUUGUUGUGGAAUUUGACAAAGCUGGUGGUAUGAUCGUAAGUAUGAUGCACGGAAUAUGGAUUGUGUUCGCAAAUCGCAAUCAAUUCCUUGGUGGGUUACUUGUUUACGUACUAACAGUAUGAUGAGUCAAUUAAUGUCCAUGCAACAGCUGUUGUGUCUUGGUCAGUUAAUAUCGUAGUCAAUAAUAUGAUAUCUUUGUCUACAUGCAUGCUUGUUUGUGUUGGUUUUGAGAUGAUUGGUAACUGAAUCAUCAAACCUUUUGCAAUUGCUUGAAUUUUGUUAGUUGACAUCAUGUUGGUGUGGUGCAGCCAUGCAGGCUAUCUGGGGCAAUAGUGUGGUCACAGUUCAAGCUCUUGAACCAGUUGCCAGAACACUGUGAAAUUGGGGUGAUAUGGAGUGCUCUUACUGCAGGCGUGUUUUUGAAUAUUAGCUACUAGUAUGGAAAAUCAUGGACAGGUCAAUUCUAUAGUUAAUCUGUUGAUUGUUCUAUACCAGUCUAAUUCAAGAAAUGUAAAUAUUCACAUUCUUAUUUAUAUAUAGCUUUUUAUUUGCAAUCUGUUGAAUCAGGAAAAUGUUUGCCUUUUGAGGUGGUGGUUCACCUAUCAAUAUAUAGCGUGUAGUUCUGCAUUUAUAUAUAGUAUAUUUUAGAUGUAGUAUUUUUAACAGUGUAUGCCUUUUGAGGUGGUUCUUCUAUCAAUAUAGAACAUAUAGUUCUGCUAUUAAUAUAUAGUAUAUUUAAAUGUAGUAUCUGCUGCUUUAACGCUAGAGUGGGGUGCACUAAGACUUGAAGUCUCUAGAAGAUCGCCAAGCCUAUUAUUAUGCCAAUGUUUGCAUGGUAUUAUAUACCAGAAAUAACGUAGGUCUUCUUAUGUUAAGCAUUGGCUUCGCUAUUGAAAUUUCAUUUUGGUAAAACUUAUCUUACAAUGGCUAUUGAAGUCUCUUAGGAUAUUGCAAAGUUCAUUGAAUAAUUACAUAGUUUCAAAAGGUUUCGCUUUGAGCUUUUGCUGGACGUCUAGAUAAUCUAUGAUAUGUUUUCUUUGGACAGGUGGCGUUUCUUACGCCAUUAAUGAAUCCAAAAUAUGGUUAUAGCAUGUAAUAUGGUUAUAGCAUGUAGGUUGUUCAAAUUUGACCUGUCCUCAUACUUUGGACAGUUAUUAAUAACCUUGCAUAAAUGAAGUUGCAUGAAUAUGUGAAUGAAUGUUUUCUUUGGUGCUUUCUAGAUGUGUUUUGUUGAAACUAUUUGAUGCUGGCAUGUCAUUCUACUCUACUGAAGCAACACAUGAUUGAUAUUCAAAAGAAUAUGCAUUGAGCUAGGAAACUGAAAUUAUUUGAGCAGUGCAUGUCAUUCGACUCCUUUAAUGAAUAUGUUUGAUUUUAAUUAUUCUUUCGAGUUGCUAGUUUACCUGAGUAUUUAUAUGCCCUACAGGUGGAAAAUUUGUGCUAUAGAAUUGAAUAAACUUAUUUUAAGGAUCUAAUCUACAUUCGUCAUGUAUCCAACAUGAAAGUCAGUUGGCUGCCAAGACUAAAUCCCUGAAGCAUUUCUAAUGGUGCUCUCAAAGUUUUUCAUGUGUCGGAGAAAAGGAAAAAAGUAGUACUUUUUGUCUUUACAGUUCAUUAGAGGACAUAUAAGACAUUCAAUGAAAAGACAAAAGCGAAUUAUGAUGCAGUAUGAUAACUUUUGGACUUUGGUAUGAAUUUUUUUGUAUCUUGUUUGUGAUUUGGUGAAAUUUAGUUGCCAGUUAAGCCUUUAUGCUUGGUUUUGAACGUGAGAGUGGACUGAGGUGGUUUUUAUGGGAUGUGUGUUUCAGGCAUUUGCAGUUAAUGUCUUGUUGGCAUUACUGUCCUCUAGUAUAACCUUAUUAAUGGUAGACCACCUUAAUUUUCCAGCAAGCUUAUUACCAGAAGUAUCAACUUUUUGAAGAAAUAUAAGGAAAAUUAUCUGGAAGUUGCAGAUAUUAUGGUAAGUAUUGCUGGUGUCAUAAAUGAAUGACAUGCUCAAAGUGCUGGUGAAGGAUUGGAUAUUAAAAUCUUAGGAUUCUAUAUAUACUUGGAUCUAUUAUUACGACGCAUUUAUCCCUAAUUACACCUUAUUAGAACUGCUGUCAUAUUGUUCAUGUGACACUGCACUUAAAAUUACCCAUUGUAUACCUACCCCCAUUUGUUCUAUAUAUAUACGUCCCAGGGUGUUUGUGGUUUACUUCUCAUUUCCUGCCUAGUUCUUGUUCUAUCAUUCCUUUGUACUUCAAGAUGAUGAAUGCUCACAUUUUCACUAGCCUGAAGGACCUGUUGAAGCCUUCAUCGUCUGAUAAACCUAAUCUCAUGAAGUCCUUGUCCUCAUCAUCCUUACUGACAGAGAAAAACUCUUUCGCCACUGCCGAUGUCUCUGAUACUUUUGGUGAGGACACUGAGUUGGACCUCGGUAUCAUUGUUGGGAAUUGAGAUUUUUUGUCCCGUUCUUUUGUUGAUUUUAGUCUUUUGGUGGAGAGGAAAGGGAGGUUAUGGGGUACCCUGAUUUUACUGUCCAUAUUCCCUUUUGGACGGCGUAAAUGAAAGAAAUUUUUUGCCAUGGAAUAGGAUUUAGCUUUAUUGCUUGCAGAUUAUGAAAGAAGAGCACACUCUCUUUGCUCCUACUUUCACGUUGUAUGCAUGAGAAUGGAUGGAAGGUGACUAUUAAUUAAAACUAAUAAAGGCGGUGAUACCGCGAUUUUGUUACCAGAGUUUUUUUUUUCCUUUUACAAAUUAUUUCACAUCCAAUUAUUGAAAUUUGUAAUAAUUUAACUUCUUGUGAUCGCUCAUGGGAUAUGCCUUAAUGUUAGUGUCAACUACCGGAUUGACUUGUAAUACCAGCCACUCAGAGUCCUCAUGAACCCGUCAUUCCACUUGUCCCCAUUAUGUUCUAUAUGUUGACAUACCAUAUUAUAGUUAUUGUUCUUUAACUAUAACAGAAGCUUCUUUGAAUGCAGUUCAAACAUUUUCUGGAGGUAAGAGUGUGGCUGAGUCACUAAAGCAUCAUGUUGUGCAUUGCAUGGAUAGCUGAAGCUCAUUUCCAGAAUUGACUUUGGAAGUAACAUGUCAGGUUAUUGGAGUUAACAGUUUGGUCACUGUUGAUGCUCCUGAACCAUUUGCCAAAACACUAGGAAGUUUGGGUAUUAAUAGAAUGCGCUACAACUAGCACGUUCUUAAAUAAUAGUUACAGUUGUGGUAAUUUCUGGCUGGCAUUGUUGUCAAGGGUGGUGAGUUUCAAUAUGCCAACAACCUUAUUGCUUGAAGUAUCAACUUAUUGAAGAAAUCAAGGAACAAAUGUCGGAAGAAGCGGAGAUUAUGGUAAGUAUAGCAGUUGCCCUAUUUGACAUCCUAAAAUUACUGGUGAAGAAUUGGAUAUUAAAAACCAAGUACUGUGCUGCUAGUGCUAGAACCAAUGACUUGAUGAAAUUAGUCUAAGCUAGUACUGUCUACUUGGUCUUACUGAGAUUAGGUUUUUGGAAUGACAGAGUGCAGCAGGAUUUCAAGGCUAGUGAAACUGAGAGCUGAUUUGAUGCUCAUUUCAUAUAGUCUGUUGUAGCAGACUAGCAGUUGUGGUUGAUUCCGUUAGUUGGUUUUACUAGCAAUUCCGUUUAUGUCGUUUCACCUUGUAGACAUAAUACAAAAGAUGAAACACAAAAUUAAAAGAAACUGAUAUAUCUUUAAAAUUCUUAAAAUUCUUGACACAGAUUGAACUUUGUAGGUGCAACCGUGAAAGCAUACCACUAGACCAAAAGUUCCUUUACAAUGUUAGCUAGGCCAUAUAACAUAACCAUUAUCAGGAAGUUGGAGGUUAAAUUAUGGAAUUACAGAUACAAUUCUAAUUACAGUAACAGAAACAGUCUGAAUCCAAGCACGGAUACAAUUUUUGUACAUCUGGAGAAAAUUAGAAGAGUUGAAAGGAAAACAAUUCAGCA